rnacentral:rRNA from 1 species
AACUCCGCAGUUAAGCACGUUUGGGCUAGAGUAGUACUGGGAUGGGUGACCUCCGGGGAAGUCCUAGUGUUGCACCCU